UUAGUUUUUGUGACCCACUACCAACAGUGAAUCGACGAUUCUCAGCCCAGAAAGCCUGCUACAGUACUACAGGACCUCACCCUUGAUGCACCGUCCGGGACGAUGUCCACGGGUUCAUCGAUCCAUCCGUCUACGCCUCAUAGCCGCAUCACCCCGAUCCCCUCCGUCAUCGCUCCUAACCAAUCAGCGCACCCAUCGUCCCAAAAUCCCCAAAUCUUCAUCGCCUCCUCGUGAGGUUCGUCGGCGCCGACACCGCCUUCUUGCGGAGCCUGCGGCCAGCGUCGCCGCUUUCUUGUCGAGCCAGCGAGGGAAAUCGCGGCGCCAUCUUCGCCGCCCUCGCCGGACCAGCGUCGCCACGGAGCUAGCCGGCGGCAUCUGCCUUCUCACGGAGCCAUCGGGCAAGCGCCGCAGCCGACCGCCGCCCUCGUCUCUUCGGCGAUCCAGCAGCUGCCGCCGCCUUUCGUCUGCUAGCUGCUAACGGUUGUCCAACUAGCUCGAUCCCUGUCCGUGCUGCUCCGUAUCCUCUUUCAUUCGUCAAUUUCAGGUAUAUAUCCAUAUAAAGUAAUCUUAACGAAAGAUAAUCUUAUAAAGAGAAAUUGGAGGGGAAACAAGCAAUGUUGUUUUUUAAUACAUAAGAGACCAUCCAACAUUUUUUUUUUGACUGUCAUGUUGCACAUUUUGCUUGGCGAUGUGUCUUCUUUGCCUUCAACAUCCCCCUCCCCACAAUGUAAAAGAUAUUUUUGGUGACCAGUUAAGGGGAGUGCCUAGACAAAAAAAAAAACGAUUUUGUUUGGAGCUAGUGCUUUAUGUUGGUCAAUUUGGCGUUGCCGUAAUGAUAUAGUUUUUAACCAUAAAAAAAUGCCUAACAUCAUGCAAGUUAUCUUCAUGUGUUCCAAUUGGCUCCACUCUUGGUGUAUGAUGCUUUCACAGGAAUAACAGGAUACUAUGCGCAAUGGUGCUACACGCUUGGAAUUAGUAGUUAAGGAACUUUUAUUCCAGUUUGGAUGGCGUAGUACCUACAGAAUUUCGUGAUAGUAUCUAUGUGAUUUUGAAAAAAAUAUUAUUUUAGUAGAUCAUAUCAUCGGCAUAAGUUGGGGGUUUGUCCCAUCUGGCUAGUUAUAUAUGUAUGCAUGCAUCCAAGUCAAUUAUUGAUUUUUUUUCGAUUA